UCAUACAUUAAAAAAAACUUGUAGAUAUAAAGUCGAUAAGUAAAAAUCUUGCUUGAGAUGGAAUAAACUAUGUAAAAGAAUAUCAGAAUUUUUACUCCAACUGUAAAUUCCAUUAAAAAUUCGAUGAUUCAUUAGGGUUUUUAAAUAGACAAGUACCUAAAAGAGAGAAUCAAAUUAUAUAAAUAGACCAUGAUCACAUUUUUCAUUCUUCAAUUGUUGAAUUCUCAAAUUAGCGAUAAAUUAAUUUGUAAAAUUGGAUUAAUAUUUUCAAUUGCUGAUUGAAAAAAAUGUACUUCUAUUAAUUAUUCAACAUUAUUUAAUUUAUUUUCUUCUCUUAAGUACUUAUCCAUUUGAGGAAUAUCCAUGAAUUGUGAAUUUCUUUGAUGUAAUCGGCAUAUUUAAUAAAUAUUAUUUGUACCUUAUCUAAUAAUCCUGAAUAGAACAUAAUUUUCAAAAAUAAUUUAAUUUAUUCAAACAAAAUUUUAUAAAUAGAACGAGUAUAAAAAAAUAUUACGACAAAAAGAUAAAAAUAUUAGUGUAUAACUCUUAAAUGACAUCUAUAUGACAUUGCGACAAAAAAAUAUGUUUUGGUAAGUAAAAUAAAAUAUAUUAUUUCCUCCGUUUCAAAAAGAAUAAUCUGGUUUGAUUUGACAUGAAGUUCAAGAAAAUAAAGAAGAUUUUUGAAUCUUGUGGUUCUAAAUUAAAUUUAUGUGAAAUUUACAAAAAUUUCCUUUAAUCUUGUGAUAUUAAACAUGCCACGUGAAAAGUUAAAAUUAAAAUCUUGUGAUUCUAAAUUAAAGUUAUGUGAAAUUUACAAAAAAAAAUGUCAUUCUUUUUUAAACAGAUAAAAGAAAAAAGCUAAUUUAUUUUUAAACGAAAAAAAUUGAUAAUUAUUUUUCAUUUGUAUAACUCUUAGUUGCAAAAGAAAGUGAUAGUUCUUACCGAUAAGAUCACAAACACUGAUUUUUUUCUUGCUCUUAUUAUGAGUACCAUUUUCUUCUUGUUCAACUUGUAAUCAUUGAGGAAAACACUCACUUUUCUACACAUAAAACAAAAUAAGUGGUCACGUUAAAAUAGUAGAUACUCACACCAAAAUCACUUAUGCAUAUCAAAAAAUAUUUAAAACUUAAAUAAUAUAAAAUAUAUCAAGUUAAGAGUGAAACUUACUUGAGACAGAAUGAUAGUAUAAAAAAUAUGUUAU
rnacentral:lncRNA from 1 species